GGAGGGUGCGAGCGUUAAUCGGAAUUACUGGGCGUAAAGCGAGUGCAGGCGGCUGCGUAAGUCGGAUGUGAAAGCCCUGGGCUUAACCUGGGAAUGGCAUUCGAAACUGCGCAGCUAGAGUCUGGUAGAGGGAAGUGGAAUUCCAGGUGUAGCGGUGAAAUGCGUAGAUAUCUGGAGGAACAUCAGUGGCGAAGGCGGCUUCCUGGACCAAGACUGACGCUCAGGCUCGAAAGCGUGGGGGUAGCAAACAGGAUUAGAUACCCUGGUAGUCCACGCCCCUAAACGAUGUCAACUAGACGUUGGGUUCAUUAAAGAACUUAGUGUCGAAGCUAACGCGUUAAGUUGACCGCCUGGGAGUACGGCCGCAAGGUUG
rnacentral:rRNA from 1 species